rnacentral:rRNA from 1 species
UACGGGGGGGGCAAGCGUUGUUCGGAAUUACUGGGCGUAAAGGGCUCGUAGGCGGCCAACUAAGUCAGACGUGAAAUCCCUCGGCUUAACCGGGGAACUGCGUCUGAUACUGGAUGGCUAGAGUGUGGGAGAGGGAUGCGGAAUUCCAGGUGUAGCGGUGAAAUGCGUAGAUAUCUGGAGGAACACCGGUGGCGAAGGCGGCAUCCUGGACCAAUACUGACGCUGAGGAGCGAAAGCCAGGGGAGCAAACGGG